GUUCAGUUGUAUCAGGACAAUUAUAACAGGUUGCAUCGGGGGGUGGAGAUUAAAGACAGUAUAUUAAGCUUGCAUUACUUAUGUUAGGUUACUUCUCAGUAGUCACUUUUCUGGCAUUAGGUUUGGUAGCAAAAAAACUUAAAAAGAUGUUUCAGUUUAUUAUAUUUAUUGGAUUGGCUUUACUGAUUGGUAGAUCAAUACCAACAGCUGCAGAAACAUCUAUCGCUCCAUCAACAAGAACAACAGCCCCUGAACUAACAUGUAAAAUAGCUACAGCAGCAUCUAUAGUUCGAUUAACAAAAAAUCCUGCACCAACAUGUAUAUCAGCUACAGCAACAUCUACAGCUCGAUCAUCAACCACAACCCCUGCCCCACAGUCUACAUCUCGCUCAGCAGUCACUGAACCAACAUCUACAACUCAAUCAAGACCACCUGCACCAACUUUAAGUUCAACUGUGCUAACAUCAACCACUCUGUCAUCAACUGCAUCAACAUCGAUAUCAGCUGCAGUAACAUCUACUUCUCAAAAGACAGCUCAACUUACAUAUACAACUCAACCAGCUUCUGUCCCACAAAAUAUGACAGCAUUAGCUUCUGCAACUUUCAAAUUGAGAUGCUUUGCUGAACUGAGCAAUGAUGAAAUCAUUACAUAUAUUGAAAAGUUUGUCAAGCACUUUCAAUCAAGCAUUAGUGGGACCAUCAAGAUUACUGUGAGGAAAUCAAGAAAACUGUUGGCAUAAGGAUCUGAUGGAAAACUUGUGACUUUCCUCUGUAUACUUGCAGUUUUACUGUUGUAAUUAAACAAUACUAUACAUUGAACACAUA